rnacentral:piRNA from 1 species
UAGUUGAUAAUAGCAGGGAAUAAGUUG